UACCAGCACCCCGAGUGGUCGGGACGUUUUAUUGGGCCUAAAGCAUCCGUAGCCGGUUCUACAAGUCUUCCGUUAAAUCCAGCUGCUUAACAGAUGGGCUGCGGAAGAUACUAUGGAGCUAGGAGGCGGGAGAGGCAAGCGGUACUCGAUGGGUAGGGGUAAAAUCCGUUGAUCCAUUGAAGACCACCAGUGGCGAAGGCGGCUUGCCAGAACGCGCUCGACGGUGAGGGAUGAAAGCUGGGGGAGCAAACCGGAUUAAGA
rnacentral:rRNA from 1 species